CAUUGAAAAAAUUAGAGUGUUCAAAGCAGGCUCUCGAGCCUGGAAAAUGGUGCAUGGAAUAAUGAAAGAGGACAUCGGUUCUAUUUUGUUGGUUUUCGGAGCGCGAGGUCAUGAUUAAGAGGCACAGACGGGGGCAUUCGAACUGUGCCGUUAGAGGUGAAAUUCUUCGAUCGGCGCAAGACGAAUGACAGCGAAGGCAUUCGCCAAGAAUGUUUUCUUU
rfam:Ciona savignyi cont_7702, whole genome shotgun sequence.